rnacentral:rRNA from 1 species
UACGGAGGGGUGCGAGCGUUGUCCGGAUUUAUUGGGUUUAAAGGGUGCGUAGGUGGCUUUAUAAGUCAGUGGUGAAAUACAGCCGCUUAACGGUUGAGGUGCCAUUGAUACUGUAGAGCUUGAAACAAUUGGAGGCUGCCGGAAUGGAUGGUGUAGCGGUGAAAUGCAUAGAUAUCAUCCAGAACACCGAUUGCGAAGGCAGGUGGCUACGUUUGAUUUGACACUGAGGCACGAAAGCAUGGGGAGCAAACAGG